rnacentral:tRNA from 2 species
GGGGGCGUAGCUCAGUCGGGAGAGCGCUUGGCUCGCAUUCAAGAGGUCAUGGGUUCGAAUCCCACCGUCUCCACCA